GCUCCAUGUGCCCCAGGUUGGAGUGCCUAGAGCUGGAAUACCCCCAGGCAAAACCCAUGAACUGGAUGCCUGUGUUGUACUGAGGUGCUCUUUGAGAGAUAGUAGCAGAUUAUUACUGGGGACUGGGAAGCUUUUUGGGCAAGAAUAGAGGACAGCUGCAUUUUCUACCCUUUAAAUACAAGAUACACAAGCUACAAUGAAAUAGCAAACUAUAGGAUUAAAAUUUCCCUUGUUUAAGCUCAGAUUUGCACUUCAGUAGCUAAUGUGAUAUUCUCUCGCUGCACAAUUGUAAGUGUGGUUGCUCUGGGGAAAAUGGGGGUGGAAGGGUUGGAUUGCAGAGCUCUGCCAGAAGCAUCUCUUGCUCCAAGAAGCAGAAGAGCUGAGCAGAAGGAUGCAGAGGACUGUGCAGUGCUCAGCGCUGAUGGGCAGCACCCGGCCUUGCAGCUCAGUUCUCAACAACAGGAACUGCCACACUGGUUCCAGGAACAGAUGCUGAGCGAUGAAGGCCACAGACUCCUCUUGACUUGGUGUCUCCUCCCAGCUCUGGGAAAUCAGCUGAGUAAGGGUUUGAAAACCCCAAGGUUUCACCUCCGCUCCUGUGUGUGUUUGCUGUUGAGCACAGUCCCCCAUGCAUUUGUUUAAUGCCUUUUAGAAUCCAUUUUCAGGCUCUGCAGCCUCCUGAGGCACCGACUGCCACAAUGCAAUUAUGGACAGUAUGAAACUACUUCCUUUUGGGUGUGUUUGCUUUAAACCUGCUGCUUAAUGACUUUGUUGGAUGCCCCCUCAGAAAGUGAACAAUUAUUCAGCAUGCUACAGACUGCUGCCGUGUCCCCUCUGCAGGCAUCUCUAUUCCUAACCAGAAGAGUUCUUGUCUGUUUAAUUCCUUCUUCUAGUGAAGCUGCUCUGUAUCUCAAAGAUAAGUGUGGGGUUUUUAUUACUUCUCUCUUUCCUCUUGGACAAAAGCGUCAGGAAAACCUUAUCAUAGUUAAAUGAUUCUUUGGGCCCUCUUUGUGCCAAAAUAAUUAGUUUUCAGCUCCUGGAAAUUACCAAGAGCUUCCGAAAGGAAGGGAAAACUUUGUUCUUGUACUGCCCUUCAGUUUGAGGUUGCAUUCAUAUCCCAAACUAGGUAAGAGCAUGCAGCAAGUAAACAGGAGAAGGGUCUGGAUACGAAGUUCUCCUUUGCUGCCAACAAACCUCCCAACUUAAUACACACAAAUCGAGUGAGUGCAAGGAAGUGACAAAAUGGGGACCUGAGAGAUCAGGAAGCUCAGUAAUUGAGUCAGUACUGAGCAAGGUCAGCAGUGCUGAACAGGAACAAAGAUAGUGACUGCAGACAGAGUGGAGUUUGGUGUGGGGUUUUGUUCUGCCUAGUCCAGAAUAAGCACAGUGUUUUCUAUCAUGUGUAACUCUU